GACUCUGACUUACUGCAUCUUGUAGCUGUGUCGUCUUAAAUUGGUCAUGUGAUUUUGACGCGCCGGCGCGUCCGGCGACCCCAGAGGGUUAAUUCUUCAAAGUGUUCGACAAGGCCCUGGAAACAUUCCUCAUGUCCACAUGGACAUGAUGGCAUCACGCAGUUGCUGCAGAUUUGUUCUCUCUAUUUGUGUGCGUGUGUGUGGUAACCACACCUUACCUUUCAGGGACAGGAUCCUCUUCGUCCCAGCCCAACUAGUUUAAGGGAGAACAAAUGUGGCCGAAGGUUGGAUCUGAUAUGAGGCGAACAGGAGACCGGUCUAAAAAUAUUUAAAGCUUGUACCUACAGAGAAAGCACCACUUUAACCACAUGCAGUUAUCCAGGUGGAGGAU
ensembl:lncRNA